GGCAUUCAUCAGGAAGGAGGUUGUGCGGUCUACCAUGCAAGUCGAACGAUGAUGCCCAGCUUGCUGGGUGGAUUAGUGGCGAACGGGUGAGUAAUACGUGAGUAACCUGCCCUUGACUCUGGGAUAAGCCUGGGAAACCGGGUCUAAUACUGGAUACUACUGCGCAUCGCAUGGUGUGUGGUGGAAAGGGUUUUACUGGUUUUGGAUGGGCUCACGGCCUAUCAGCUUGUUGGUGGGGUAAUGGCUCACCAAGGCGACGACGGGUAGCCGGCCUGAGAGGGUGACCGGCCACACUGGGACUGAGACACGGCCCAGACUCCUACGGGAGGCAGCAGUGGGGAAUAUUGCACAAUGGGCGAAAGCCUGAUGCAGCGACGCCGCGUGAGGGAUGACGGCCUUCGGGUUGUAAACCUCUUUCAGUAGGGAAGAAGCGAAAGUGACGGUACCUGCAGAAGAAGCGCCGGCUAACUACGUGCCAGCAGCCGCGGUAAUACGUAGGGCGCAAGCGUUGUCCGGAAUUAUUGGGCGUAAAGAGCUCGUAGGCGGUUUGUCGCGUCUGCUGUGAAAGCCCGGGGCUCAACCCCGGGUCUGCAGUGGGUACGGG
rnacentral:rRNA from 1 species